CCUACGGUGGGCAGCAGUCGAGAAUCAUUCACAAUGGGGGAAACCCUGAUGGUGCGACGCCGCGUGGGGGAAUGAAGGUCUUCGGAUUGUAAACCCCUGUCAUGUGGGAGCAAAUUAAAAAGAUAGUACCACAAGAGGAAGAGACGGCUAACUCUGUGCCAGCAGCCGUGGUAAUACAGAGGUCUCAAGCGUUGUUCGGAAUCACUGGGCGUAAGGCGUGCGUAGGCGGUAUUGUAAGUCGGGUGUGAAAGGCGCGGGCUCAACCCGCGGACGGCACAUGAUACUGCGAGACUAGAGUAAUGGAGGGGGAAGCGGAAUUCUCGGUGUAGCAGUGAAAUGCGUAGAGAUCGAGAGGAACACUCGUGGCGAAGGCGGGUUACUGGACAUUAACUGACGCUGAGGCACGAAGGCCAGGGGAGCGAAAGGGAUUAGAUACCCGAGUAGUC
rnacentral:rRNA from 1 species